CAGACAGCUGUGCAGAGCGGCAGGAGGUCUCAUGCGCUCCUGGUGACAGCCAAACAGAUUCACUACCUCAGCCUUGCAAUCAUCUGCCUCAGCAUUAAGAAGGACUGCAAAACCCAGUAACAGCAUGUGCCAUGCUUCCUCACUGGAAUUUCAUCAACCUAAAUGACCCAUACCUUUGCCCCCUUUUCACGACCCUCCACGCUCUUGUCACAAGAAGCCUCCCCUCCCAGUGUUAUUAAGUAAUAUGACGAUUAUUGCUUACAACCUACCCUGUUAGACUGCAAUCUCCUUCAUGAAAGAAAAUGUGACAUAUUAUCUGGAAUUCCAUCUCUCCUGAGUCCCUAUACAGUGUUCCACCCAAAGAAAGACCUCCAACCCAAUGACUGCAGCACUACUUUGCUCCAGGAAAGAGUUCCAACCAGCUGAGAUACAAUUAUUUUACUAAUUUGGCCAAUAUACAUCAUUGAGUUUCAAACAUUCCAAAUGUUCCUGGAGACCAUCCUCUUCUCAGUUAAGAGGCAGAGGGAAAACAAGAUCAUGAAUCCCUUUUCUAAUCAUGAGCAAUAAGAGAAACAAAAAUGUCCUGGUUUUAUCAGUUACAUCAGAGGACCACCAUGAAUCCCUGAUGAGAGCAGGAUGUUGAAGGAGCGACCAGGGCUGAUGUCAGGUCGCCUGCCUAUGAGAGCAAGGCAGAACCAGGGCUCUGGCACACCUGCUUUGUUCCCCUGCUACCGACAGGCUUGCUAUUUCUUUCAAAGAUUUUCUCAUGGACCAUCACAAGUGAAAGCAGUGUUAGAAAACAGCUUCAGGGCUUGGGGAGGCAGCGUUGUUUUAGACUGGCUGGAAAGUCAUGCUGAGCAGCAAGAGGACAGAUCUCUUUUAGAGGAGACAGCCCCACCUGGCUGCACCCUCCAAGGAGGCCACAGGGCAUAUCAUCCAGGUGGGUCAGGUGGCACUGGGGCUCACAGUCAAGCCAUCAUCAGGUUACUGCCUCUGUUUCAUCACUGUGAAAGUUAAGCCAUGAUCCAGGUCUCUGGGUCUUCCUGAGCAAGUCAAUGCAGAGCCAAAGCCUGUGCACAAAUGAAUAACCUCACAAGGAUGAGAGCUGUGUGUGAUUGAUGGCUCUACACAAACCAUCUCAGCAAAGGAGUUCAGUAAGAGCCUUGUGAGCAUAUGACACUCUCCAGCUCUACUAAAGUGAUAGAUGGGUUCACACGGAAGCUACUAAAUGGGCCUCAUUGCAAAGGCAUGGCUUCAACCAUAGCUGGACUUCAGGGAGCACAGUGUUUUCAACAUAUACCUUGGAAAAUUCCUCACUCAUAAGUAAAGAUUACAUAUGCAGGGGCCCAGUGAAUGCUUGCCUAAAAGACAGUGUAAUGCUAAGCAAAAUAGUCUGUUAAUAGGAAAAGAAAUAUCAUGAUUUUAAUUCUGGAGUGCUAAGUCGCCUAAUCUUCAAUGUUCUGUGUUCAGAUGACAGGCAGGAAGCUGAGCUAGAGUUUAUGCUUGUCCAAUUAAUCAAAUAACCUCCAUGCCACUUAUCCUUGGAACUGGCAUUAGAAAAGCCCCCACGUGCCCCCAAAUCAUAUAAAUUUCACAGUUUCCUAGUCAUUAAAUCCAGGUUGGCCUAAUGCUGACGUGUCAUAUUUUGACAUGUAGCCACAGGGGAUAUACAGUCAAAAUUAAGAGGAGACCCUGAGCUAAAACUGGCAUGCCCUACUCGGAGGAACAAUUUAUGCCCACACAUAGAUAAAACUGCAUGUAUCUUCUCCAAAUGAUGAAUAUUAAACUGUUAGAAACAUAGGGAGAUAUAAUUCAUUGACUCAUUUUGCAUAAAACAUUUCUUUUAGCUUUCAACCAAACAUAUAGAAGGGAUAUUUGCAUCAUCACAAGUACACAGGCUAUUAUUACAUGUAAUUACAUGCAGACUUUCAAUACUACUAUCACAAUGGUAUUUAUUGAAUAAACCUGCAGCAUUAAUAAAAUCAUAUUUUCCCUGGCUUUAAACCCUACAUGGCUUCCCCAUGCACUUACUAUAAACGUUUAUCCAACCCCUCACAUCGCCUCCAAGGCUCUCUGAGCCCAUCUCUACCACCCCCACACCAUCCCAACCUCUCCAGCCCCCGGCCCGGCCCCACCAUCACUCAUUCUGCCCUGCCACACUGGCCUUCUUCCUUUGUUCUUUGUCUCUUGAACAAGCUAAGAGAAAGGCCCUUGUCCCCGCUGUUUUCUUUGUUUGAAAGGCUUUCUCCCGAAACCUCCGUGCAGUAGUUAACUCUCCGAUCUCAGGUCAAAUGUCACCCCACAGAGGGCCCUCCGCAGCCACCCCAGCGAGUGCUGCCUUUCACCUGCAAUCACCAUUAUGCGCCCCGCACUCACUUCAUUUUCUCUAGAGCAUAAGUAUAUUCCAAUCUGAAAUAUAUUGUUUUUUUUCUGAUUAUCCGGACCACAAAUAUAUAAGCUCCAAUAAGAAAGUAGUUUGCUUCCACUACAGGGUCUAGAACUGUGUCUGACACACAAUAGAUCCACCACAAGCAUUUGUUACACAGAUGAAUGCUGUGCUAGAAGGUGGAUAAAGCAAGUUACAGACAUGGCAGCCUACCCACUGGGUGCUAAUGAUUGAGAAACAAGUGGACAAAUAGCCAAGAAACACAGAAAAAAAAAUUUAGCAGCUGCAUACUUAAUUAUGAUUAAGUAAUCAAAGUUAGUUGAACAUAUCAAACGUGAAUAAAUUAUUAAGUCAAGACAUGUCAUAUGGAAAUGCUAAUGACCUAGGCUGGGAAAGCUCUCUGAGGUUUGAGAAUGAGGAACUUUAUGAAGUUUCUAACAUGGUCCCUGCUAUGGCACCUAACUGCCUAGAACAUCAGAGUUGCUUAAUAAAUACUGCUGAAUUUUGCAAUUCUUAAACUAAGAAAAUGUUAAAAUAUUAUUUUAGCUUUCUUAGUGAAUAUUUUUAAAGACCACUUGUCUAUAAUUCGUACUGAUGUUUUUCUCGGCAUAAAUACCAGAUAUAUGAGUAUGAAACUUAAAUAGUAGAAAAAUCAUCCAUGGAUGCAGGUAAGACACAACCCAGAAGAAUUUUUUUUUUUUUAAACACAGAGAAUUUUUUUUUAGCCUGACAAAUUUCAAAGAGGCUUUGCAAGUGCAAACAGACUUCAGCUUUUUCACAUUCCUAUGCCCAGAAACUGGGACGUGAAAAUGCCAGGAACCCUUUCAAUAACUAGACUAUGUGAUAGAUGCAGGAGAAACUCUCCAACCACCAAGAUUACUCCUAUGGAGCUGCCAAAGAACCAGAUGCUUCCUUCAAAAGCAUAUCAAUUUGGCGGUGAAAAACCCUGUGGCCUCAGCUCCAGUCGGGAAGGGCAGGUGGGAUGGCAUGGUGCAGGAUGCCUGUUCCCACUUGCCUCAGCAACCAUCUUCUUCUGACAGCAAAACUGUGUUACUCCCAGGCUUGAAGGCAUGAGCAAAAUACAUGGCUUUGCUAUAUAUAAGGACGGGACUUGGAAAUAUUUGGUCUGAGGCCAUGCAAAAUGAAUUCCAUACAUGGGGAGACUGUAAUAUCGAAAAAGAUGAAAAUAGUUUCACUGCACUUGAAAUUUUUAUCUUCAAAGAAAUUGAACAUAGAUGAAGGAAAAAAUAGCUGCAUUUAAAAAAAAAGUUUCAUAAUGCAGGACGUUAGAAAAUAAAACUUUUUUUAACCAAUACAUAUAACAAAGAGCAAUUGUUUUUAUGACUGCCAUCUACCAAACCAUCAACUGUGAAAUCUUUCUCUUUAAUCACGAGUUUUUAAAGGCUCUAUUCAUGUGCAUCCAUUUUCACAAACUCUUGUGAAACUAGCAUGACCUGGCUUGAAAUAAUAAACCCAAAGGGUUUCUGUUGUAGUUGUUGUUGAGGCAUUAGUGUUUUUAUUUUUUUAAGAAAGCCAGGACUUCAUUUCUGCAUAUGAAGCUCCUCGUGGUGUUCAUCCUCACUUAAAUUUGCAGCCAAAAUUAUUUUUUCAGUCUCUUUAACCCUGGUGGGCCCCCUGAGAGCAUGUGUGUUCUGGGCUUUUGUAAUUAGGCAGCUUGCACCUGA
rnacentral:lncRNA from 1 species